UAGGAGGUAGUAUAAUGUAGUACUAAAGAUUUUGAGUCUUUAUGUGCAGGUUCGAGCCCUGUUCUUCUAA
rnacentral:tRNA from 1 species